rnacentral:rRNA from 1 species
AUUGAACGCUGGCGGCAGGCUUAACACAUGCAAGUCGAGCGGGGUGAUGGUGCUUGCACUAUCACUUAGCGGCGGACGGGUGAGUAAUGCUUAGGAAUCUGCCUAUUAGUGGGGGACAACAUCUCGAAAGGGAUGCUAAUACCGCAUACGUCCUACGGGAGAAAGCAGGGGAUCACUUGUGACCUUGCGCUAAUAGAUGAGCCUAAGUCGGAUUAGCUAGUUGGUGGGGUAAAGGCCUACCAAGGCGACGAUCCGUAGCGGGUCUGAGAGGAUGAUACGCCACACUGGGACUGAGACACGGCCCAGACUCCUACGGGAGGCAGCAGUGGGGAAUAUUGGACAAUGGGGGGAACCCUGAUCCAGCCAUGCCGCGUGUGUGAAGAAGGCCUUAUGGUUGUAAAGCACUUUAAGCGAGGAGGAGGCUCUUUUGGUUAAUACCAAGAUGAGUGGACGUUACUCGCAGAAUAAGCACCGGCUAACUCUGUGCCAGCCGCCGCCGUAA